UGAAAUAGGAAAAGACCAAAAAAAAAAAGCUUCGUCGUUUAUCUGAGAAAAACAAAACAACACUCUACAAAAGAUGAAAUCGAUUAGUGCUUCCAUGUCUUGCCAAUCCAAUUCCAAUCCGAUUCUGUUAGUUACUCAGUUUGAUUUGUUUUUUUCUGUGAUGAUAAUCGGUUCUACAUGAUGUACGAAGAAUAUGCUCCGAUUUGAAUCAAUUUUCUUCUCAAUCCCUAGGAUUGUAUAUGGAAGAUGAUUAUAGUCAAGCUUUAGGAAACAUUAUCACUAUAGGAGAUUAUAGCUACGACGGCUUUGGAAGCUGCUUUGCUGCCAUCUUUGCCAGCUAAAGAACUUCAAGACAUCGACCGCUCUCCUCAUCCUUCUCAUCAAAGUCAGUCCCUUUUUUACUCUCAAUCUUGAAUUAUUAUCCUCUCCGUCCUUCAAUUUCAAUUUUGAGAACAACAAUGACUGAUUUAGGAAAUGCUAAUUUCAUCUACUAAGGUUUUGGUUUGUGUUAUUUCAAAAUACUGUGAAUAGUUAUUAGUUUGAAGUCUUCUUAAAUGUAGAAAAGCAAUGACUUCUUCUUUCCAUGAUAGUUUGGAAGCUUUGUUUGUUUCUA